GUCUUGAUAGUUUAUAUAAAAUAACAACAUGUGGGGUUGGGGAAGAUAUACAUAUCUUAAGACA
rnacentral:tRNA from 1 species